rnacentral:rRNA from 1 species
GAUGAACGCUGGCGGCGUGCCUAAUACAUGCAAGUCGAGCGAACAGACGAGGAGCUUGCUCCUCUGACGUUAGCGGCGGACGGGUGAGUAACACGUGGAUAACCUACCUAUAAGACUGGGAUACCUUCGGGAAACCGGAGCUAAUACCGGUAAAUAUGUUGAACGGCAUGGUUCAAUAGUGAAAGCGGGUUUUGCUGUAACUUAUAGAUGGAUCCGCGCCGCAUUAGCUAGUUGGUAAGGUAACGGCUUACCAAGGCGACGAUGCGUAGCCGACCUGAGAGGGUGAUCGGCCACACUGGAACUGAGACACGGUCCAGACUCCUACGGGAGGCAGCAGUAGGGAAUCUUCCGCAAUGGGCGAAAGCCUGACGGAGCAACGCCGCGUGAGUGAUGAAGGUCUUCGGAUCGUAAAACUCUGUUAUUAGGGAAGAACAAAUGUGUAAGUAACUAUGCACGUCUUGACGGUACCUAAUCAGAAAGCCACGGCUAACUACGUG